AGCAUAUCAAUAAGCGGAGGAAAAGAAACCAACAGGGAUUGCCCUAGUAACGGCGAGUGAAGCGGCAACAGCUCAAAUUUGAAAUCUGGCGCAAGCCCGAGUUGUAAUUUGUAGAGGAUGCUUCUAGGUAGCGACCGGUCUAAGUUCCUUGGAACAGGACGUCAUAGAGGGUGAGAAUCCCGUAUGUGACCGGCCCGCACCUUCUACGUAGCUCCUUCGACGAGUCGAGUUGUUUGGGAAUGCAGCUCUAAAUGGGAGGUAAAUUUCUUCUAAAGCUAAAUACCGGCCAGAGACCGAUAGCGCACAAGUAGAGUGAUCGAAAGAUGAAAAGCACUUUGGAAAGAGAGUUAAAAAGCACGUGAAAUUGUUGAAAGGGAAGCGCUCACAACCAGACUUCUGGGCGGUGUUCCGCCGGUCUUCUGACCGGUCUACUCGCCGUCCCGAGGCCAACAUCAUCUGGGACCGCUGGAUAAGACCUCAGGAAUGUAGCUUCCCUCGGGAAGUGUUAUAGCCUGUGGUGAUGCAGCGCGUCUCGGGUGAGGUCCGCGCUUCGGCAAGGAUGUUGGCGUAAUGGUUGUCAGCGGCCCGUCUUGAAACACGGACCAAGGAGUCUAACAUCUAUGCGAGUGUUCGGGUGUCAAACCCCUACGCGUAAUGAAAGUGAACGGAGGUGGGAAGCGUAAGCUGCACCAUCGACCGAUCCUGAUGUCCUCGGAUGGAUUUGAGUAAGAGCAUAGCUGUUGGGACCCGAAAGAUGGUGAACUAUGCCUGAAUAGGGUGAAGCCAGAGGAAACUCUGGUGGAGGCUCGCAGCGGUUCUGACGUGCAAAUCGAUCGUCAAAUUUGGGUAUAGGGGCGAAAGACUAAUCGAACCAU
rnacentral:rRNA from 1 species